rnacentral:rRNA from 1 species
UGAGUAACACGUAUGCAACCUGCCCACAACUGCGGGAUAACCCGUCGAAAGACGGACUAAUACCGCAUGGUAUGGAUCGAUCGCCUGAUUGAUUCAUCAAAGAAUUUCGGUUGUGGAUGGGCAUGCGUUCCAUUAGGCAGUUGGUGAGGUAACGGCUCACCAAACCUACGAUGGAUAGGGGUUCUGAGAGGAAGGUCCCCCACACUGGUACUGAGACACGGACCAGACUCCUACGGGAGGCAGCAGUGAGGAAUAUUGGUCAAUGGGCGAGAGCCUGAACCAGCCAAAUCGCGUGAAGGAUGAAGGUAUUAUGUAUUGUAAACUUCUUUUAUAGGGGAAUAAAGUGCACCACGUGUGGUGUUUUGUAUGUACCCUAGGAAUAAGGAUCGGCUAACUCCGUGCCAGCAGCCGCGGUAAUACGGAGGAUCCAAGCGUUAUCCGGAUUUAUUGGGUUUAAAGGGUGCGUAGGCGGGGAUACAAGUCAGCGGUGAA